CGUUAUCCGGAUUUAUUGGGUUUAAAGGGAGCGUAGGCCGGAGAUUAAGCGUGUUGUGAAAUGUAGACGCUCAACGUCUGCACUGCAGCGCGAACUGGUUUCCUUGAGUACGCACAAAGUGGGCGGAAUUCGUGGUGUAGCGGUGAAAUGCUUAGAUAUCACGAAGAACUCCGAUUGCGAAGGCAGCUCACUGGAGCGCAACUGACGCUGAAGCUCGAAAGUGCGGGUAUCGAACAGGAUUAGAUACCCUGGUAGUCCGCACGGUAAACGAUGGAUGCCCGCUGUUGGUCUGAAUAGGUCAGCGGCCAAGCGAAAGCAUUAAGCAUCCCACCUGGGGAGUACGCCGGCAACGGUGCAACUCAAAUGAAUUGACGG
rnacentral:rRNA from 1 species